rnacentral:ncRNA from 2 species
CGGUUGUCGUGCAACUGGCGAUUCGAGGUGGAAGCUAACCACCGGGGAGCGCGACGACCUACCCGCCGAUCGCCUGGGCAAUUCCA